AGCAGCCGCGGUAAUUCCAGCUCCAAUAGCGUAUAUUAAAGUUGUUGCAGUUAAAAAGCUCGUAGUUGAAUUUCGGGGUUAGUAGAUUGGUCAUGCCUCUGGUAUGCACUGGUCUCACUGAUUCCUCCUUCCUGAUGAGCCGUAAUGCCAUUAAUUUGGUGUUGCGGGGAAUUUGGACUGUUACUUUGAAAAAAUUAGAGUGUUUAAAGCAAGCUAACGCUUGAAUACAUUAGCAUGGAAUAAUUAAAUAGGACGUUCGAUCCUAUUCUGUUGGUUUCUAGGAUUGACGUAAUGAUUAAUAGGGAUAGUUGGGGGCAUUAGUAUUCAAUUGUCAGAGGUGAAAUUCUUGGAUUUAUUGAAGACUAACUACUGCGAAAGCAUUUGCCAAGGAUGUUUUCAUUAAUCAAGAACGAAAGUUAGGGGAUCGAAGACGAUCAGAUACCGUCGUAGUCUUAACCAUAAACUAUGCCGACUAGGGAUCGNAGGAUGUUAAUUUUUUAAUGACUCA
rnacentral:rRNA from 1 species